CGAAAACCUUACCCACCUUUGACAUGGCAGGAACUUACCAGAGAUGGUUUGGUGCUCGAAAGAGAACCUGCACACAGGUGCUGCAUGGCUGUCGUCAGCUCGUGUCGUGAGAUGUUGGGUUAAGUCCCGCAACGAGCGCAACCCUUGCCAUUAGUUGCUACGAAAGGGCACUCUAAUGGGACUGCCGGUGACAAACCGGAGGAAGGUGGGGAUGACGUCAAGUCCUCAUGGCCCUUAUAGGUGGGGCUACACACGUCAUACAAUGGCUGGUACAAAGGGUCGCCAACCCGCGAGGGGGAGCCAAUCCCAUAAAGCCAGUCGUAGUCCGGAUCGCAGUCUGCAACUCGACUGCGUGAAGUCGGAAUCGCUAGUAAUCGUGGAUCAGAAUGUCACGGUGAAUACGUUCCCGGGUCUUGUACACACCGCCCGUCACACCAUGGGAGCGGGUCUCGCCAGAAGUAGGUAGCCUAACCGCAAGGAGGGCGCUUACCACGGCGGGGUUCGUGACUGGGGUGAAGUCGUAACAAGGUAAGCGUAGUGCU
rnacentral:rRNA from 1 species